UCGAAAGCGAGGGUGAGAAUGAACUUAGACACGGAAUCACCACGAGGGCCAAGUGGAAGAAGAAGCGCAUGAGGAGGUUGAAGAGGAAGCACCAGAAGAUGAGGUAGAGAUCCAAGUAGUUCUUUGCCAAUAAAUCGACGUUGUUUUUUGUCUAAUCGGUUUUUGAUUAAAGAGUCAUAGUGUUUUCCAUUUCUACGUUUGGAUUUAAUAUCUGAAAGGUUGGAGUUUUGUGUUGU